UACGAAGGGGGCUAGCGUUGCUCGGAAUUACUGGGCGUAAAGGGCGCGUAGGCGGAUAGUUUAGUCAGAGGUGAAAGCCCCAGGGCUCAACCUUGGAAUUGCCUUUGAUACUGGCUGUCUUGAGUUCGGGAGAGGUGAGUGGAAUGCCGAGUGUAGAGGUGAAAUUCGUAGAUAUUCGGCGGAACACCAGUGGCGAAGGCGACUCACUGGCCCGAGUACUGACGCUGAGGCGCGAAAGCGUGGGGAGCAAACAGGG
rnacentral:rRNA from 1 species